UGUCAUUUCCAUGUUUUACUAAAGGACCCCAUGGAAAAAAAUUAGAUGUUUUCAAUAUCAUUUUUUAAUGAAGUUUGCCAUUCUAGGGAAAAGAAUCAAGAAAAUAAUGUAGACCUCAGUUUUUUGUUAGCAAUCAAAUUUGAGACUCCAUGUAUCUUAAAAUAAAUCAUUCCUUCUGUGCCACUGCUAAUUUUCAGGGAACUGGAAGCGACUGAAGCCAGUGAAGGAGGAAGCUGUGGCAGAAGCCGACCAGUGCAGAAUGCAGAGAGAGGAGUUCCGACGGAGACGGUCCAAGAGCUUCUUCUUCUGAAGAAAUUACAGUGUUAGACGGAAAUCUGGACUAGUGGAAACACUGAAUCUAUUGUUAAUGGAAGUAAAAUCAGAUGGACCAUGGCUCUAAGCAGAAGACACGAAACUGGUUGCCUUGGGCAUAUUGAGGAUUUUUGUAUAUUUAAUAUUUUUUCCUGAAUUCAUUAUCAAGAAAGCAUUGUACUUCCUUGAAGCAACCACAGAUUGAGAAUGCAAAACUGUGGUUUGCUUAGCAUAGUGGGACCUGAACCUCUGCUUUCCCUUAAACUGGAACAUUUGAACAGAUUUAUAAAGAAACACACUGAAUGUUCAAAGAUUUUGCCAUCAUCAUUAGUCAUCAUGCUGUAAAGUACACACAUCAUCUCAACAUUGAAGUUUUGAAAACUAAUAUGGAGACACCCUUAAAUGGCACCCUUUUGACUAAAUUUCCCAUUUCAUGUCGCAUAAUUAUCAAUGUCAAAUUUACGUUGUGCCCCAGACAUUCAGGCAGCAGGCUUCUUGCCAGCAUGAGCAGCAGAGUACAGGGAAUAAGUUUUCUGUUGACACCUAGAGGGCUGCUCAUUCUUUUCAGUUCCACAAAUACGCAUUGAGCAUCAACUAUGCACCAGGAAGUGUCUAAGGCACUUACAGCGCAUCCGGGAACGAGACGACACCGAUCAUCUGCGGAGCUCACAUUCGUUCAUUUAAACUCCUGCGUGGAUUAAACCAAUUGUUUGCAGAUACAAAGGCAUGGAAUUCUUCCCCAGGAAGGCCAUAAAACAGCACCUGCUUAUUGGUAUAAACUGUCUAGGAAACACCGUAAAACUCGAAUUACCCCCUAUCAAAUAAAUUGAGAAAUAAUAUAUUUAAUGAGGUAGGAUGAGGCAUAGGAUUACAGGCUAUUUAAAAGGAACAUGCCAGCAGAAAGUGUAAAAUGGAUUAGAAAAAUGAAAACGUCCAAGCAACACAAGCAGUGAGAAAUUGUAUUACCACUAACGAAUCACUAAUACUCCCCAAUCAUUUUCUGACUGCUUUCUCAGUGAGUGCUAAGCAUCUGUGCUGUGUAUUCUCUUCACAGUAACCCUUUCAGAAAAUGAUCAUGUUGCCUUAGUAAAGAACCUGGAGAAUACAGUAAUUAGCACUUAUUAUUAGCAAUGCCACCCAUUAUCCCCAACCUGCACUAUCAAAAAUGUGGGCCGCUUCACACACAGCUACUGAACACUCCAAGUGUAGCGAGUCCCAAUGAAGAUGUUCUGCAAAAGGAAAAUGCAUUCCAGAUCACAAAAACUUAGUCUGAAAAUCAAUAAUGAGGUAAUCUUUAUGUUGACUGCACUUUAAAACAGUAACACUAUGGAUGUGUUGGGUUAAAUAAACUGUAUUAUUUAAAUUAAUUUAACCUAUUUAUUUUUACUUUUUUAAUGUGACUCUAGAAAAUGUUCAAUUACUUCUAGAGCCCAUUUUGUGAUUCCUGUUACAUUUCUACCCCUCUGUACGCUUUGGACUCAUGAAUGUGGUUGACUUUUU